rnacentral:rRNA from 1 species
GAGAAGCUUGCUUCUCUUGAGAGCGGCGGACGGGUGAGUAAUGCCUAAGAAUCUGCCUGGUAGUGGGGGAUAACGUUCGGAAACGGACGCUAAUACCGCAUACGUCCUACGGGAGAAAGCAGGGGACCUUCGGGCCUUGCGCUAUCAGAUGAGCCUAGGUCGGAUUAGCUAGUUGGUGGGGUAAUGGCUCACCAAGGCGACGAUCCGUAACUGGUCUGAGAGGAUGAUCAGUCACACUGGAACUGAGACACGGUCCAGACUCCUACGGGAGGCAACAGUGGGGAAUAUUGGACGAUGGGCGAAAGCCUGAUCCAGCCAUGCCGCGUGUGUGAAGAAGGUCUUCGGAUUGUAUAGCACUUUAAGUUGGGAGGAAGGGCAGUAAAUUAAUACUUUGCUGUUUUGACGUUACCGACAGAAUAAGCACCGGCUAACUCUGUGCCAGCAGCCGCGGUAAUACAGAGGGUGCAGGCGUUAAUCGGAAUUACUGGGCGUAAAGCGCGCGUAGGUGGUUAGUUAAGAUGGAUGAGAAAUCACCGGGCUCAACCUGGGAACUGCAUUCAUAACUGACUGACUAGAGUAUGGUAGAGGGUGGUGGAAUUUCCUGUGUAGCGGUGAAAUGC